UAGAGUUUGAUCAUGGCUCAGGAUGAACGCUGGCGGCGUGCUUAACACAUGCAAGUCGAAUGUAGCAAUACAUGGCGGACGGGUGAGUAACGCGUGAGCAAUCUGCCCAUAUCUGGGGGAUAACAGUUGGAAACGACUGAUAAUACCGCAUAACAUGGUUUGAAGGCAUCUUCUUUCCAUCAAAGAUUUAUCGGAUAUGGAUGAGCUCGCGUCUGAUUAGCUUGUUGGUGAGGUAACGGCUCACCAAGGCGACGAUCAGUAGCCGACCUGAGAGGGUGAUCGGCCACAUUGGAACUGAGACACGGUCCAAACUCCUACGGGAGGCAGCAGUGGGGAAUAUUGGGCAAUGGAGGAAACUCUGACCCAGCAACGCCGCGUGAAUGAUGAAGGUCUUCGGAUUGUAAAGUUCUUUUCUAAGGGAAGAAGAAAGUGACGGUACCUUAGGAAUAAGCCUCGGCUAACUACGUGCCAGCAGCCGCGGUAAUACGUAGGAGGCAAGCGUUAUCCGGAAUGACUGGGCGUAAAGGGUGCGUAGGUGGUUUGACAAGUUGGUAGCGUAACUCCGGGGCUCAACCUCGGCACUACUACCAAAACUGUCGGACUUGAGUGCAGGAGGGGCAAAUGGAAUUCCUAGUGUAGCGGUGGAAUGCGUAGAUAUUAGGAGGAACACCAGUGGCGAAGGCGAUUUGCUGGACUGUAACUGACACUGAGGCACGAAAGCGUGGGGAGCAAACAGGGUUAGAUACCCUGGUAGUCCACGCUGUAAACGAUGAAUACUAGGUGUAGGGGG
rnacentral:rRNA from 1 species